rnacentral:rRNA from 1 species
UGAGCAAUCUGCCCUUCUCUUCGGAAUAAGCGUUGGAAACGACGUCUAAUGCCGAUACGACCUCCUUUCGCAUGAUCGGAGGUGGAAAGCUCCGGCGGAGAAGGAUGAGCUCGCAGCCUAUCAGCUAGUUGGUGUGGGUAAUGGCCCACCAAGGCGACGACGGGUAGCCGGCCUGGAGAGGGUGACCGGCCACACUGGGACUGAGACACGGCCCAGACUCCGUACGGGAGCAG